CAGAUGAGAAUCUAAAAACCUAACUCAGAUUUUUUUUCCCUUUCUUUCCCCAAUCCUAUUUUCGACUGUUUGAAAGUUUGAUCAUCGUCAUCUUCUUCGUCUGCUGUGUUGGGCUGCUUCGACUUAAAUCAAAGGUGCCUUUCUUCUUCGUCUGCUUCUAGGAUGCUGGGCUGUGUACCUGCGUCGUUCUCCAUUAAUUGAUGGUCAAAGACAAAUUUUAGGGACAUUUUCAGUUUCUAGAUCUUAAAUCGUAAUGUCUUCUUCUGGUUCUAACUCUGGUAAAAAUAAGAGAAAAAAUGCAAGAGGUAAUCGAACAGACCCAGGUUAGGAACAUGGUACUGAGGUUGAUAAAUUUACCAAGAAAGUAAAGUGUAAUUGUUGUGGUGUUGUGCGUUCUGGUGGAAUAUUUAGGCACAAACACCAUAUUGCUUGUACUAGAAAUAAUGUUGAACCUUGUUUGCAAGUCCCUGAUGAUGUCAAACAUAAAUUUAGAGAAGUAUUGGAAGCAAAUAUAGAGCAAUCUAGUAGAAAAAAGAAAAAAAUUAAAUGAUAUUGGUGAGGAUGAAGAGGCUUAUCAAUAUCCAAAAGGGGGUAAUCAAAGGGGGAGAGGAAGUAUGGAUGAUUUUGUAAGUAGAAGUAAGUAUGGUGUUCAAACAACACUUAACCAAAAAUUCAAAAGGGAAGAAAGAGAAGAAGUUUGUCAACAAAUUGCUAGGGUUUUUUACACUAGUGCUAUUCCAUUCAAUGCGGUCAAUAAUCCUGAAUUCCCAAUUAUGAUUGAAAAAAUUGCAAAGUUUGGAAUUGGACUUAAACCUCCUAGUUAUCACGAAAUGAGAGUCACAUUCUUAGCCAAAGAAGUGAACAAUGUCAUGGCCAUGCUUCAGGAGUUUAAAGAGGAGUGGAAACAGACUGGUUGUACAAUUAUGUCAGAUGGUUGAAGCGAUAGAAAAAGGCGUUCGAUUUGCAAUUUUCUUGUGAAUAGCCCUAAGGGAACGAUUUUCUUAUCCUAUGUUGAUACAUCAGACAUUUCAAAGACAGCUGAUAAAGUAUUUGAUAUGUUAGAUGCAGUUGUAAAAAAGGUUGGUCCAGAGAAUGUAGUGCAAGUUGUAACGGAUAAUGCUGCCAACUACGAAGCAGCCGGUGAAAAGUUAAUGGACAAAUGACCAACCUUGUUUUGGACGCCAUGUGCUGCUCAUUGUAUUGAUUUAAUGCUAGAGUAUUUGGAUAAGAAGAUUAAGUUUCAUAGCUUGACUAUUGCAAAGUCAAGAAAGAUAACAACUUACAUUUACUCUAGAACCUUAUUUCUUACAUGGAUGAAAGAGUUUAGAAAAGGCAAGGAACUCAUUAGACCAGUUGUCAUAAGGUUUACUAUAUCCUAUCUGACAUUGAAAUGCUUGAAUGAACAUAAAGGAUCUUUAUUGUCUUUAUUUGCAUCUAAUAAGUGGAAAUCCAAUAAGUUUGCUUCAUCUGUCGAAGUAAGAAGGGUUCAAAGAAUUGUUUUAGAUACUAGGGAUUUUGGCAGAGUGUUGUGACAUGUUUGAAGACAGCCCUGCCUCUUGUAAAAGUGCUUCGUAUAUGAUUCAGAUGGGAAUCCAGCGAUGGGGUUUAUAUAUGAAGCGAUGACACAAGCAUAAAAUCAAAUCAAGGCAAAUUUCAAUGAUGUUGAGAAAAACUAUAAGCCUAUUUGCAUAUUGUCGAUGAGCGUUGGAUUGGUCAGUUGCAUAGGCCCUUACAUGCUGCAGCAUACUUUUUGAAUCCGCAAUAUCAAUAUAGUCUUAAUUUUUAAGCUAAUGCGGAAAUAAUAAUAGGCUUAUAUAAUUGUUUACAAAGAAUGGUCCCCCAUGCCGAUGAGAGGAUGAACAUUGAUCUUCAAAUGGAUGCAUUUAAGAAUGCAAGAGGACUUUUUGGAUUGCCUACGGCUAACUUAACUAGAAAUAAAAAGACACUAGCCGAUUGGUGGGAUUCAUGUGGCGAAAAAUGUGCAACAAUGAUACAAUCACCCAUUGUUUUAGACAAUUUACCAUCUGAUGAUGAAUGGAUAGCUGAAAUUGAAGAUCCUGUUCUCCCAUCUGAUGGACAGUAGUUGAAUGCGCUAGAUAGAGCUGCACGAAGGUUUACUAGAUCGGUAGAACAAGCAGGAGAUGAAAUCAAUGAUGGAGAAUUCAAUGACAAGGAAGAUGAGAAUGUUGAAGUGCAAUGGCUAAGUGAUGAUGAAGUAGCUACACCAUUUGAUGAAGGUGAUUUGGGUGAUGGUGAUGAUGUCAAUGUUGGGGCAACUACCACAGGUUCUGAUAUAGGAAGUGAUGGAAGCUCUGGAUACGAUGAUUGAGUUAUUUUUAUUUAUUAUUUCUUAGUAAAAUGUACUUUUUAAUUGCUUUAAAAUUUGUAGUUUGAAUUCAAAGUCCUAUGUAUUAAGCAUUUUGUAGUCUCGUAGUUGAAAACUUUAUUACUUAUUUACUUUAAAUUUCACUAAUGGUUAAGUAACGAUGAAAAUGAUA